rnacentral:tRNA from 1 species
GGUGAUGUAGCUCAGUGAUAUUGCACUUGCCUAGCAUGCAUGAGGUCCUGGGUUUGAUCACCAGCAUCACAA